rnacentral:rRNA from 1 species
UACGUAGGGGGCAAGCGUUGUCCGGAUUUAUUGGGCGUAAAGAGCGUGUAGGCGGCCAUGCAGGUCCGUUGUGAAAACUCGAGGCUCAACCUCGAGACGCCGAUGGAAACCGCAUGGCUAGAGUCCGGAGGAGGAGAGUGGAAUUCCUGGUGUAGCGGUGAAAUGCGCAGAUAUCAGGAAGAACACCCGUGGCUAAGGCGGCUCUCUAGUACGUGACUGACGCUGAGACGCGAAAGCGUGGGGAGCGAACAGG